rnacentral:pre_miRNA from 1 species
UAUAAGGGAGUUUGAGUUUUUACUUGUAAUGUUUGAUCACUCGUCUUAUUCAAAAUUUUUUGAAAUUAUUAAUUACUUUAUAUGUGACUUACUUUAUUAUCUAUAGUACUUUAAGCACAACUUUUCAUUUUUUAUAUUUGCAAAAAAAAAAUUAAAUAAGACGAGUGGUCAAACGUUGCAAGAAAAAACUGAAAAUCCCUUAUA